rnacentral:rRNA from 1 species
UUAUUUGUUUUAAUCCCGAAUGAAGAAAAGUUAUUUUUUUUAUUAUUUUACGUGGUAUAGUGAAAUUGUAGUUAUUAAUAAAAGUGAUAUGCUAUUUGCUUCUUUUGAUAUCUGGUUAACUCGGAAAAAUACUUAGUAUAGGUCUACUUUUAGUUCUCAGGGCAUUUAGGAUAAGCUUUUUGUCUAAGUUUGAUGGUUAAUUUUCUUUUAAAAAUUUUUUGUAGAUUUUAUAUUAAUUCAUCUUUAGUUUGUUAUAAAAAUUAAUUUUUAUUCUUUAAAAUUUAUUGUAUAAGAGGUCAUUAUAAUAACGGGUUUAUUGGUGUUUAUUAAUUAAUGAUGAUAAAAUGAGUAGGUUGGAUUGUUUUUAAGUGUUAUGUUUUUAUAUGCUUUUGUAAUGAAUUCGGCAAAUAUUUCCCUCGACUGUUUAACAAAAACAUUUCUUGCAGAAGGAUAAUUGUAAGUAAGUCCUGCCCGGUUGUUUUUAGCUUAACGGCGGCAUUAACGUGAGUGUCCUAAGGUAGCGCGAUAAUUUGCCCUUUAAUUGGGGGAUGGUAUGAAGGGGUAAACGUGGGAGUUCUGUGUCACAAAAGAGAUUCUGAAAUUAUUUUUAAAGUGAGGAAACUUUAAUUAAAUAGAAAGACGACAAGACCCUAUGAAUCUUUAUUUAAUUAGGGUAUAUUUUAUUCUCUUUAUAAUUUUAAUGGGGCAUUAUGUUAAUAAAAAUAAUACUUUGUUCUUACAGGAUAUAACUGUUUUCAUAUAGGAUAAGUUACUCUAGGGAUAACAGCGAUAUUUCUUUUACGAGACGUCAUUAAAAAAGAAGUUUUCGACCUCGAUGUUGGCUUUAGGUAACAAUUGGGUGUACCCGCUCAAGUUUGUUGGUUUGUUCAACCUUUAAUUCCUAACAUGAGCUGAGUUCAGAACGGCGUGAGCUAGUUCAGUUUCUAUCUUCUAUUAUAUAUCGGCAGAUUUGGUACGCAAGGAACAAUUUG